CCUACGGGUGACAGCAGUGGGGAAUAUUGGACAAUGGGGGAAACCCUGAUCCAGCGACGCCGCGUGAGUGAAGAAGUAUUUCGGUAUGUAAAGCUCUAUCAGCAGGAAAGAAAAUGACGGUACCUGACUAAGAAGCACCGGCUAACUACGUGCCAGCAGCCGCGGUAAUACGUAGGGGGCAAGCGUUAUCCGGAUUUACUGGGUGUAAAGGGAGCGUAGACGGCAGAGCAAGUCUGGAGUGAAAUGCCGGGGCCCAACCCCGGAACUGCUUUGGAAACUGGGAAGCUGGAGUGCAGGUGAGGUAAGCGGAAUGCCUGGUGUAGCGGUGAAAUGCGUAGAUAUCAGGAGGAACACCGGCGGCGAAGGCGGCUUACUGGACUGUAACUGACGUUGAGGCUCGAAAGCGUGGGGAGCAAACAGGAUUAGAUACCCGGGUAGUC
rnacentral:rRNA from 1 species